rnacentral:rRNA from 1 species
GGACUACAAGGGUAUCUAAUCCCAUUCGCUCCCCACGCUUUCGUCCUAGCAGUGUCAGGUGGCACCCAGAAGCUUGCCUACGCUAUUGGUGUUCCGAACGAUAUCAACGCAUUUCACUACUACACCGUUCGUUCCAGCUUCCUCUUUGCCCCUCUAGUUAUACAGUUUCAAAAGACAGACUCAAAGUUAAGCUUUGAGAUUUCACUUCUGACUUGUAUAACCACCUAUCGGUACGCUUUACGCCCAAUGAUUCCGGAUAACGCUUGAGGUCUCUGUAUUACCGCGGCUGCUGGCAC